rnacentral:rRNA from 1 species
UACGUAGGGUGCAAGCGUUAAUCGGAAUUACUGGGCGUAAAGCGUGCGCAGGCGGUUUUGUAAGUCUGAUGUGAAAUCCCCGGGCUCAACCUGGGAAUUGCAUUGGAGACUGCAAGGCUAGAAUCUGGCAGAGGGGGGUAGAAUUCCACGUGUAGCAGUGAAAUGCGUAGAUAUGUGGAGGAACACCAAUGGCGAAGGCAGCCCCCUGGGUCAAGAUUGACGCUCAUGCACGAAAGCGUGGGGAGCAAAC